rfam:Sus scrofa isolate TJ Tabasco breed Duroc chromosome 13, whole genome shotgun sequence.
AUAUGUGAAAGUGUUGAAUAGAAUACUUUGGAAUGGCUAUAAGCAUUUUUUAAAAAGACUGAAAACAUAU